rnacentral:rRNA from 1 species
UACGUAGGGUGCGAGCGUUAAUCGGAAUUACUGGGCGUAAAGCGUGCGCAGGCGGUUUGUUAAGACAGAUGUGAAAUCCCCGGGCUUAACCUGGGAACCGCAUUUGUGACUGGCAAGCUAGAGUAUGGCAGAGGGGGGUAGAAUUCCACGUGUAGCAGUGAAAUGCGUAGAGAUGUGGAGGAAUACCGAUGGCGAAGGCAGCCCCCUGGGCCAAUACUGGACGCUCAUGCACGAAAGCGUGGGGAG